rnacentral:tRNA from 1 species
GGCCGCGUAGCUCAGUUGGCAGAGCAUUGGGCUAGUAUUCCAAAGGUCGCAGGUUCGAUUCCCACCGUGGUUA